rnacentral:rRNA from 1 species
CUCAGGAUGAACGCUAGCGGCAGGCCUAAUACAUGCAAGACGAACGGUAAGUUGAGUAGCAAUACUUAGCCAAGAGUGUCGUAGGUGCGUAACACGUAUGCAACCUACCCUAUACAGGAGGAUAGCCUAGGGAAACCUGGAUUAACCCUUCAUAGUAUUAUUGGAUGGCAUCAUUUGAUAGUUAAAACUGAGGUGGUAUAGGAUGGGCAUGCGUCUGAUUAGUUAGUUGGCGGGGUAAUGGCCCACCAAGACGAUGAUCAGUAGGGGUUCUGAGAGGAAGAUCCCCCACACUGGCACUGAGAUACGGGCCAGACUCCUACGGGAGGCAGCAGUAGGGAAUAUUGGUCAAUGGAUGCAAGUCUGAACCAGCCAUGCCGCGUGCAGGAAGAAGGCCUUCUGGGUUGUAAACUGCUUUUGCCAGGGGAUAAAAUUUCCAUGCGUGGAAAACUGAAGGUACCUGGUGAAUAAGCCACGGCUAACUACGUG